rnacentral:rRNA from 1 species
UAACUGGGCGUAAAGGGCACGCAGGCGGUGACUUAAGUGAGGUGUGAAAGCCCCGGGCUUAACCUGGGAAUUGCAUUUCAUACUGGGUCGCUAGAGUACUUUAGGGAGGGGUAGAAUUCCACGUGUAGCGGUGAAAUGCGUAGAGAUGUGGAGGAAUACCGAAGGCGAAGGCAGCCCCUUGGGAAUGUACUGACGCUCAUGUGCGAAAGCGUGGGGAGCAAACAGGAUUAGAUACCCUGGUAGUCCACGCUGUAAACGAUGUCGAUUUGGGGAUUGGGCUUUGAGCUUGGUGCCCGUAGCUAACGUGAUAAAUCGACCGCCUGGGGAGUACGGCCGCAAGGUUAAAACUCAAAUGAAUUGACGGGGGCCCGCACAAGCGGUGGAGCAUGUGGUUUAAUUCGAUGCAACGCGAAGAACCUUACCUACUCUUGACAUCCAUGGAAUCUUGUAGAGAUACGAGAGUGCCUUCGGGAACCAUGAGACAGGUGCUGCAUGGCUGUCGUCAGCUCGUGUCGUGAGAAG